rnacentral:lncRNA from 1 species
AUCUAACACCCAAGGAAAGAGUCCUUCUCCCACUGGGAUCUCCUCUUCCCUGGGGAGGCCUCAAGCAGCAGACUGCAUUUUGUCUCAGGCUUAUUAAAAAGAAAACCACAGCUCCAGUAUUGUGGUGGUGGUCCCUUGAUCUUCUUACAGACGGCCCCUGGACUGAAAAGAAAAUGCUCCCGUUCUGGCUGCAGGAGCAGUCAGGAUGUCUCUCUUGUGCUGGAAUAGCUCUCCGGUUCUUAGCCAGAAAGCCCCUUCCGACUCUCAAAUACCACUCAAACCUGUGAUUUCUAGACAGCGUGGCAAGGAAAGGCUACAGCAGGCAGAUGGAAGAAAGGCUGAAUCACCGGCAGGCAGUUUCAGAGGGAAGGGAGCRACCCCACAGCCCUGAUGCCAGAACAGUGACAUUGGUUAUAGCCACAGGUGACUUC